UACGUAGGGUGCAAGCGUUAAUCGGAAUUACUGGGCGUAAAGCGUGCGCAGGCGGUUAUGUAAGACAGGUGUGAAAUCCCCGGGCUUAACCUGGGAACUGCAUUUGUGACUGCAUAGCUAGAGUACGGUAGAGGGGAUGGAAUUCCGCGUGUAGCAGUGAAAUGCGUAGAUAUGCGGAGGAACACCGAUGGCGAAGGCAAUCCCCUGGACCUGUACUGACGCUCAUGCACGAAAGGCGUGGGAGCAAACAGG
rnacentral:rRNA from 1 species